ACAAAAGCUGGGACAGGAGAGAGAGAAGUGACAUCAUCUGCAGAAAAGUUUUCCCUUUUUCUGCCUGAAGGGCUGUUUUGAUUUCCAGCUGCAUCUCAGGUUUGAGUUUGCACAUAUAAGUUACAAGUUACUGCAAGCAACAGUUGAUUUGAAGAUUCCUGAUAAACAUGGAGAUGGAUAUAGGUGGACUGAUCUCAAAUAUUUAUAAGGGCAAAAGAGAAGAGGAAGGACAACUGGAAGAGCCAGAACAGAUACCUGGUUAGGAGAGGGCAGGAGCCCUCCCUUCCCCAAGGCAAGACAGGCCCAGGAUGGGAAACA